AUGCUCACUUUGACAGCACAUGUACUAAAACUGGAAUAAUAAGAAAAGAUCAUCCUGGCCUCUGAGCAAGAAUGACACACAAAUUUGUGAAGCAUUCCAUAUUUGA